GAGAGAAGUCGAGUGCUGGCAAGAGCCUGAGCAGGUACCGUGCAGGCCUUUCCGAGGCGUGCCCGGGGUCGCAGGGGAGCAGUUCGGUGCCUGGCAUCACGGGGCUGGCGAGCAUUGUCUGGGUGCCGGAGGCGAACGCGGCGAUCGAAG